GAUGAACGCUGGCGGCGUGCUUAACACAUGCAAGUCGAACGGUGAAGCCAAGCUUGCUUGGUGGAUCAGUGGCGAACGGGUGAGUAACACGUGAGCAACCUGCCCUGGACUCUGGGAUAAGCGCUGGAAACGGCGUCUAAUACUGGAUAUGAGCUCUCAUCGCAUGGUGGGGGUUGGAAAGAUUUUUCGGUCUGGGAUGGGCUCGCGGCCUAUCAGCUUGUUGGUGAGGUAAUGGCUCACCAAGGCGUCGACGGGUAGCCGGCCUGAGAGGGUGACCGGCCAAACUGGGACUGAGACACGGCCCAGACUCCUACGGGAGGCAGCAGUGGGGAAUAUUGCACAAUGGGCGGAAGCCUGAUGCAGCAACGCCGCGUGAGGGAUGACGGCCUUCGGGUUGUAAACCUCUUUUAGCAGGGAAGAAGCGAGAGUGACGGUACCUGCAGAAAAAGCGCCAGCUAACUACGUGCCAGCCGCCGCCGUAACAC
rnacentral:rRNA from 1 species